rnacentral:rRNA from 1 species
ACGCUGGCGGCAGGCUUAACACAUGCAAGUCGAGCGGGCGUAGCAAUACGUCAGCGGCAGACGGGUGAGUAACGCGUGGGAACGUACCUUUUGGUUCGGAACAACACAGGGAAACUUGUGCUAAUACAGGAUAAGCCCUUACGGGGAAAGAUUUAUCGCCGAAAGAUCGGCCCGCGUCUGAUUAGCUAGUUGGUGAGGUAAUGGCUCACCAAGGCGACGAUCAGUAGCUGGUCUGAGAGGAUGAUCAGCCACAUUGGGACUGAGACACGGCCCAAACUCCUACGGGAGGCAGCAGUGGGGAAUAUUGGACAAUGGGGGCAACCCUGAUCCAGCCAUGCCGCGUGAGUGAUGAAGGCCCUAGGGUUGUAAAGCUCUUUUGUGCGGGAAGAUAAUGACGGUACCGCAAGAAUAAGCCCCGGCUAACUUCGUGCCAGCAGCCGCGGUAAUACGAAGGGGGCUAGCGUUGCUCGGAAUCACUGGGCGUAAAGGGUGCGUAGGCGGGUCUUUAAGUCAGGGGUGAAGUCCCGGGGCUCAACCCCGGAACUGCCUUUGAUACUGGGUGUCUAGAGUCCGGAAGAGGUGAGUGGAAUUCCGAGUGUAGAGGUGAAAUUCAUAGAUAUCAGAGCAAACCACUGGCUAAGGCAGUUCAC